rnacentral:rRNA from 1 species
GGUUAAGCGACUAAGCGUACACGGUGGAUGCCCUGGCAGUCAGAGGCGAUGAAGGACGUGCUAAUCUGCGAUAAGCGUCGGUGAGGUGAUAUGAACCGUUAUAACCGGCGAUUUCCGAAUGGGGAAACCCAGUGUGUUUCGACACACUAUCAUUAACUGAAUCCAUAGGUUAAUGAGGCGAACCGGGGGAACUGAAACAUCUAAGUACCCCGAGGAAAAGAAAUCAACCGAGAUUCCCCCAGUAGCGGCGAGCGAACGGGGAGGAGCCCAGAGCCUGAAUCAGUGUGUGUGUUAGUGGAAGCGUCUGGAAAGGCGUGCGAUACAGGGUGACAGCCCCGUACACAAAAAUGCACAUAUUGUGAGCUCGAUGAGUAGGGCGGGACACGUGGUAUCCUGUCUGAAUAUGGGGGGACCAUCCUCCAAGGCUAAAUACUCCUGACUGACCGAUAGUGAACCAGUACCGUGAGGGAAAGGCGAAAAGAACCCCGGCGAGGGGAGUGAAAAAGAACCUGAAACCGUGUACGUACA